CGGAAUUAUUGGGAGUAAAGAGCUCGUAGGCGGUGUGUCACGUCGGCCGUGAAAACCUGCAGCUUAACUGUGGGCGUGCGGUCGAUACGGGCAUCACUGGAGUUCGGCAGGGGAGACUGGAAUUCCUGGUGUAGCGGUGAAAUGCGCAGAUAUCAGGAGGAACACCGGUGGCGAAGGCGGGUCUCUGGGCCGAUACUGACGCUGAGGAGCGAAAGCGUGGGGAGCAAACCGG
rnacentral:rRNA from 1 species